rnacentral:rRNA from 1 species
GUCUCAGGCCCGUAUCUAGCCUGAAGGCGCCCGAUCUCGUCUGAUCUCGGAAGCUAAGCAGGGUCGGGCCUGGUUAGGAUCUUGGAUGGGAGACCACCUGGGAAUCCCGGGUGCUCGAGGCU